rnacentral:misc_RNA from 1 species
GAUGAAGAACGCAGCGAAAUGCGAUAAGUAAUGUGAAUUGCAGAAUUCAGUGAAUCAUCGAAUCUUUGAACGCACAUUGCGCCCCCUGGUAUUCCGUGGGGCAUGCCUGUCCGAGCGUCAUUACAACCCUCAAGCUCAGCUUGGUGUUGGGCCCCGCCGCCCCGGCGGGCCCUAAAGUCAGUGGCGGUGCCGUCCGGCUCCGAGCGUAGUAAUUCUUCUCGCUCUGGAGGUCCGGUCGUGUGCUCGCCAGCAACCCCCAAUUUUUUUCAGGUUGACCUCGGAUCAGGUAGGGAUACCCGCUGAACUUAAGCAUAUCAAUAAGCGGAGGA